GGGGGUGGGAUGCCAGGUUGCCUGGAUGUCAUAUCAAGUGGCAGGAGCUGAAAAUCUGGUCGGCUCUCCGCCUCGCCACUCCCACCUGCCCUACCAGAUAUGCUGGAAUGCGGUCAGAAUGCGCAGCACCUGAAACCAAGUGAGUCUUUGCAGUCGAAAGCUGUGUUUGUGUCACCUUGACGGCGGCACUUGUGACAGGAACACCGAGGUCAGGAGCGGCGACAUUUCAGAGAGCGGGCACCCCUGGAGAAGACGCCGGAGAAGAGUUAAGGGCCUCACAGUGAAGGCGCCAGGAGACGGAGAAGCGAGUGAGGUCACAACUGGCAUGAAUCUGUCCUGUGUCAGUGGAGACAUGGAGUCCUCGGAUGUCACCAACCCCUACGGUCACAUCACCCUCCCGCGGGCUCAGCUGCGGAUCACCAACUUGGACAACAGCACCGUCAUCAGCAACCCGAUGGCCAGAGAGCAGGAGCAGCUCCCGCCAGGGGGCUUCAUGCCUCAAGGUGGGCGAGUCGUCCUGCCGUCACAAAUGAAUGGCGCUAACCCGAGCAGCGUCACGGCUCCAUACGGUGCAGCUGUCCAGCAUGGAGGGAAGACGCGACCCAAGUCUGAGUCUGAGGGGGGCACCUGCUGCUGCUGCUGCUCCUGCUGCCGGAAGAAGUGCUGCUGUGUGGUGUCCUAAACGCUGCCCCCUGCUGGCAGCUGUCCAUUGUCCAUUCUCUCCUGUGGACACUCGAAACUAAAAGAAGAGGCCACCUUACUUGUGCUGGCCAGAGCCGUCUUCACCAAGGGGAGAUGCCAUGAUGUUGCCUGCUUUCCACCACCCACCUCCUCCACCCAUCAUCAUUUAGGUCUCUCCAGUGGUGGGCUUCCAUCCCAGCUAUCCCUCACCUGCUCACAUUUGGUGGCUAACGAUGACAUCUGGCCUGAAUGAUAACACGGGGUCUCACAGUUCUUGAGAUCCCGGCAGGUGGUGAGCUGGCAUGGCCUAAUACUGACCAGGGGGACAACAAGGGAGGGGACCGAACACAGGAGAUGUGACUCUGAGCUGACCAGGCAAUGGACUUUGUGUCCGAGAUCUGUGAGUACAAUGCUGGACUUGGGUGGGACUGUGGACUCCCCUCCAGCUAACUACUUACAAGCCACCUGAAGUGAGGGUCCUCCAUGAGUGCAGCCCACCCCUGCCACAGCACGCCCAUCCUUCACUCCUUUAAAGAAUUGAGAAGGUCAGCCCAUCAUGUGUGGCCCCGUGUUUGGCAAGUUCUUCUUGCGCCCAGGAGAAGGUCAGGGCUGGCAUUGGCUCCUCCCUGACGCUGCUAGGACAGACUGUGCCCACCCCCCUCAAUGCCCCUCUAUUGGAGUAUUCACUUCAAAUGUUUAUUAAACUUUGUUCUUUUUU